rnacentral:pre_miRNA from 1 species
AAUAGUUUUAUGCCACAUCAUUACUCUUAUCCUGAAUUUCAGGAUUUUAUCCUGGAAAAAAAUCAAAUCCAAAUUAAAAUACUGAAAUUCAGGAUAAAAUCCUGAAAUUCAGGAUAAGAGUAAUGAUGUGGCAUAAAACUAUU